rnacentral:lncRNA from 1 species
AUGGCAAGUUCAAAUCCUUUGACUGUUUUUGCUAAGUUAAAUGAUGGAAAUUAUAAGGAGUGGAGCAUUUAUGUGAGGCAUCUCUUAGUCAGAAAAGGACUACAAAAUACUAUUCUAGGAACGGAACAAGACGCAGUUAAAAAUGAGAGAGGACUGGCAACAUUGGUUUUGAGUUUAAUGCCAAGUCAGUUGGUUCAUGUGCAGAAUUUGCAAACUGCACAGGAGGUAUGGAAUGUGUUGAAGCAAGUGCAUCAGAGACAGAGCACUCUUGGAAAAAUGAUUUGGACUAAACGCCUUUAUAGAACUACAUUGGAAGAAGGGGCAGAUGUGAGGAAACAUGUGAAGAGGAUGAAAGAUUUGUUUAUUGAAUGCCAAAACAGAGGUGUUCAGAUUGCCAAAGAGCAACAGGCUUAUAUUAUAAUGUCCAGCUUAACUGCUGAUUGGGAUCAUUUGUUGCAUUCCUUGCAAAAUGUGCCUGAAGGAGAUCUGAGUCUGGAUUUAGUGUGUUCCAGGAUCCUGGAAGAAGCUGAGCAUCUGGAGUUUGAGAGAGAAGCCUCGUGUGGGAGAAGUUACCAGAGCGAGGGGGAGUCAACUCCAGAGAUGCCGAGCCAGACAGCUGCUUGUGCGAGUGUGAGAGCUGUAAGGAGAUGUUUUAUUUGCAACAGGAUAGGACAUUUAGCAAGAAAUUGCCAGAGCCGAGGAAGACAUCAAAGAGGAAUGUCCAGAGGUGGUCACAGGAGAAGUGGACUGAACAACAACCCUGAGCCGAGAGUUUUGAUGGCUGCAAAUGAAGAUGGAGACAGCAAAAGAAGUAACAAAUGGGUUUUGGACUCAGGUGCCACUCACCAUAUAACUAAUGAUAUUUCUCUGUUGAGAGAUGUACAAGAUUUGGAAGCAGCAAAUGUAACUUUGGCUGAUGGGUCAUUUAAAUGGUUUUCUAAAUUUGGAACCUGUUAUAUUCCAUGUUUAAAAUUGUAUUGGGAGAAAGUCUUGUAUGUGCCAGAAAUGAAGACAAAUUUGUUAAGCGUAGCCACAUUGACUGAUCAACAAUUUAAAGUGUUCUUUAAAGGAAUUUAUUGCUACAUUCGUGAUAGGGAAGGAAAAUUGGUUGGCAAAGGAGUAAAAAGAAACAGAAUGUAUGAAAUGUUUGAAAAAGUUAACAGCAUUGAUGGAGAAAAUGUAGAAAUUAUGUGUGUAGGAGGUCAAAUUCAACAUGAUCGUUGUCUGCAUUUAUUCCACUGA